rnacentral:rRNA from 1 species
GUCUCUCUGUUUACUAUACAUAGAGAGUUUGACCUGCCCAGUGAUUUAAUUUAAACGGCCGCAGUAUUUUGACUGUGCAAAGGUAGCAUAAUAAUUUGCCUUAUAAUUGAUGGCUGGUAUGAACGGUUUGACGAAAGCAUUACUGUCUCUAAUACAUUAUUCAUAAUUUAUCUUUUAAGUUAAAAGACUUAAAUUUAAUUAAAGGACGAGAAGACCCUAUCGAGCUUAAAAAAACUAUUAAGAAAAGUAUAUUAUUAUAGAUUUAUUUUAUUAAUAAUAUUUUGGUUGGGGCGACCGGGGAAUAGCAAAAGCUUCCCUAUAAAGAAAAAAGAUAUAUAGAUCCAAUAAAUAUUGAUAAAUGAAAUUAGUUACCGUAGGGAUAACAGCGUUAUUUUUUCUGAGAGACCUUAUCAAAGAAAAAGCUUGCGACCUCGAUGUUGGAUUGAGGUUACUUAGGGGUGCAGAAGCUCCUAUAAGUUAGUCUGUUCGACUAUAAAAAUCUCACAU